CAGAAAAGCUCCCCCCCCCCCAAGCGGGGUGGGAAAAUGAAAUUUGACUAACACCAUUGCAAGUGUUUAAAAUAACUGAAUUGGAUCCCUGCAAAUUUAUUGCUACCUUCUUGAAAACUGAAGCUUGAAAAAGGAGAGAGAACUUAGAAAGUUCCCUUCUGCAACGCUUUUCGUGUGAUAUGAGCCAUGGUGGUGCAGUGGUUAGAAUGCAGUACUG